rnacentral:rRNA from 1 species
AUUGAACGCUGGCGGCAGGCUUAACACAUGCAAGUCGAGCGGGGUGAUGGUGCUUGCACUAUCACUUAGCGGCGGACGGGUGAGUAAUGCUUAGGAAUCUGCCUAUUAGUGGGGGACAACAUCUCGAAAGGGAUGCUAAUACCGCAUACGUCCUACGGGAGAAAGCAGGGGAUCACUUGUGACCUUGCGCUAAUAGAUGAGCCUAAGUCGGAUUAGCUAGUCGGUGGGGUAAAGGCCUACCAAGGCGGCGAUCUGUAGCGGGUCUGAGAGGAUGAUCCGCCACACUGGGACUGAGACACGGCCCAGACUCCUACGGGAGGCAGCAGUGGGGAAUAUUGGACAAUGGGGGGAACCCUGAUCCAGCCAUGCCGCGUGUGUGAAGAAGGCCUUAUGGUUGUAAAGCACUUUAAGCGAGGAGGAGGCUCUUUUGGUUAAUACCCAAGAUGAGUGGACGUUACUCGCAGAAUAAGCACCGGCUAACUCUGUGCCAGCCGCCGCAGUAA